ACUGCCUUAGCUCAGUUGGUAGAGCGUCGGAGUACAAAUCCGGAGGUCGUGGGUUCAAAACCCGCAAGCAGUU
rnacentral:tRNA from 1 species